UACGUAGGGUGCGAGCGUUGUCCGGAAUUACUGGGCGUAAAGAGCUCGUAGGCGGUUUGUCGCGUCGUCCGUGAAAACUUGGGGCUCAACCCCAAGCUUGCGGGCGAUACGGGCAGACUUGAGUACUGCAGGGGAGACUGGAAUUCCUGGUGUAGCGGUGAAAUGCGCAGAUACCAGGAGGAACACCGGUGGCGAAGGCGGGUCUCUGGGCAGUAACUGACGCUGAGGAGCGAAAGCGUGGGUAGCAAACAGG
rnacentral:rRNA from 1 species